rnacentral:rRNA from 1 species
CAUGGUUGUCGUCAGCUCGUGUCGUGAGAUGUUGGGUUAAGUCCCGCAACGAGCGCAACCCUUAAGCUUAGUUGCCAUCAUUAAGUUGGGCACUCUAAGUUGACUGCCGGUGACAAACCGGAGGAAGGUGGGGAUGACGUCAAAUCAUCAUGCCCCUUAUGAUUUGGGCUACACACGUGCUACAAUGGACAAUACAAAGGGCAGCGAAACCGCGAGGUCAAGCAAAUCCCAUAAAGUUGUUCUCAGUUCGGAUUGUAGUCUGCAACUCGACUACAUGAAGCUGGAAUCGCUAGUAAUCGUAGAUCAGCAUGCUACGGUGAAUACGUUCCCGGGUCUUGUACACACCGCCCGUCACACCACGAGAGUUUGUAACACCCGAAGCCGGUGGAGUAACCUUUUAGGAGCUAGCCGUCGAAGGUGGGACAAAUGAUUGGGGUGAAGUCGUAACAAGGUAGCCGUAUCGGAAGGUGCGGCUGGAUCACCUCCUUU